UAGACAGAUUAUUGUAUUCAAUCGUAUUCACGAUAUGUAAUUUUGAGUACAGUCACGUAAAUAGCGCAAAUCAUGAUUUAUUCAGCUAAUUUUAAACGGAAAGUGAAUCAAUUAACAUAAUAGACUCCU
rfam:Nicotiana sylvestris Nsyl_contig154681, whole genome shotgun sequence.